GACGAACGCUGGCGGCGUGCUUAACACAUGCAAGUCGAACGCUGAAGCACCAGCUUGCUGGUGUGGAUGAGUGGCGAACGGGUGAGUAAUACGUGAGUAACCUGCCCUUGACUCUGGGAUAAGCCCGGGAAACUGGGUCUAAUACUGGAUGCUACAUGUCACCGCAUGGUGGUGUGUGGAAAGGGUUUACUGGUCUUGGAUGGGCUCACGGCCUAUCAGCUUGUUGGUGAGGUAAUGGCUCACCAAGGCGACGACGGGUAGCCGGCCUGAGAGGGUGACCGGCCACACUGGGACUGAGACACGGCCCAGACUCCUACGGGAGGCAGCAGUGGGGAAUAUUGCACAAUGGGCGAAAGCCUGAUGCAGCGACGCCGCGUGAGGGAUGACGGCCUUCGGGUUGUAAACCUCUUUCAGCAGGGAAGAAGCCACAAGUGACGGUACCUGCAGAAGAAGCGCCGGCUAACUACGUGCCAGCCGCCGCAGUAA
rnacentral:rRNA from 1 species